GGGGCUAAUACCGGAUAUUAUGCUUAUACCACAUGGUAUUUGUAUCAAAGGUGACCUCUUCUUGAAAGUUACUGUUUAGAGAUGGGCUUGCGGUCCAUUAGCUUGUUGGUAGGGUAACGGCCUACCAAGGCGACGAUGGAUAGCCGACCUGAGAGGGUGAUCGGCCACAUUGGGACUGAGAUACGGCCCAGACUCCUACGGGAGGCAGCAGUAGGGAAUUUUGCGCAAUGGACGAAAGUCUGACGCAGCAACUCCGCGUGAGGGAUGAAUGCCUUCGGGUUGUAAACCUCUGUUGAGUGGGAAGAAUAAUUUUAUUGCUAAUAUCAAUAAAACAUGACGGUACCAUUCGAGGAAGCUCCGGCUAACUACGUGCCAGCAGCCGCGGUAAUACGUAGGGAGCAAGCGUUGUUCGGAAUUACUGGGCGUAAAGGGAGUGCAGGCGGAAAAGUAAGUUAGAAGUGAAAUGUAUCGGCUCAACCGGUAACCUGCUUUUAAUACUGCUUUUCUUGAGUAUGGGAGAGGAAGAUGGAAUUCCAGGUGUAGCGGUGGAAUGCGUAGAUAUCUGGAAGAACACCAGUUGCGAAGGCGGUCUUCUGGCCCAAUACUGACGCUGAGGCUCGAAAGCUAGGGGAGCAAACAGGAUUAGAUACCCUGGUAGUCCUAGCCGUAAACGAUGGACACUAGAUGCUGGGGGCGUUUUGUCUUCGGUGUCGAAGCUAACGCAUUAAGUGUCCCGCCUGGGGAGUACGCUCGCAAGGGUGAAACUCAAAGGAAUUGACGGGGGCCCGCACAAGCGGUGGAGCAUGUGCUUCAAUUCGAUGCAACGCGAAGAACCUUACCUGGUCUUGACAUGGGAGUGAAAGUUUCUAGAGAUAGAAGCCUUUCCUUAGGGAACACUCUACACAGGUGCUGCAUGGUUGUCGUCAGCUCGUGUCGUGAGAUGUUGGGUUAAGUCCCGCAACGAGCGCAACCCUUGUCCUUAGUUGCCAUCAGGUUAUGCUGGGAACUCUAAGGAGACUGCCUGGAUUAACCAGGAGGAAGGUGGGGAUGACGUCAAAUCCUCAUGGCCCUUACGACCAGGGCUA
rnacentral:rRNA from 1 species